rnacentral:misc_RNA from 1 species
AGCUGUUCCCCUUCCCAGGCGU